GUCAAAAUCUAAUUCUGAUAUCUUGGAACCCUAGUUCCGCUGCGAUUUCGAGUUGGGAGAAAUCGAUCUCGUCUUGUUCUCCUUCUCGUCUUAGUGGGUUCUCCCUAUGGUGUGAGCGUCUUCUCCGUCCCCUCCGUCUACUGCUCACCAGAUUCUGGAUCGGAAUCAAACCCUCCUUCAGCGUGUCGUCCCUGGAAGAUCUCCUUCCCCAAAUCGAGUCAAAGAUAAGCUGAGUGAGGUUGGUAAUCGCAUUCGGGUAAUCUACAGCAAAAGGAUCUCCAAAUUUAGAGGGCAGGCCAUAAUUGGGCAUGACUAUAGCUACUCACAGGAUACAUCCAGUGAUCACUACACAAAGGACAAUAUAGAAAGGGAGACAAAUGCAUACAUCUUG